rnacentral:rRNA from 1 species
UGUGUGUUAGUGGAAGCGUCUGGAAAGGCGCGCGAUACAGGGUGACAGCCCCGUACACAAAAAUGCACAUGCUGUGAGCUCGAUGAGUAGGGCGGGACACGUGGUAUCCUGUCUGAAUAUGGGGGGACCAUCCUCCAAGGCUAAAUACUCCUGACUGACCGAUAGUGAACCAGUACCGUGAGGGAAAGGCGAAAAGAACCCCGGCGAGGGGAGUGAAAAAGAACCUGAAACCGUGUACGUACAAGCAGUGGGAGCCUCUUUUAUGGGGUGACUGCGUACCUUUUGUAUAAUGGGUCAGCGACUUAUAUUCUGUAGCAAGGUUAACCGAAUAGGGGAGCCGAAGGGAAACCGAGUCUUAACUGGGCGUUAAGUUGCAGGGUAUAGACCCGAAACCCGGUGAUCUAGCCAUGGGCAGGUUGAAGGUUGGGUAACACUAACUGGAGGACCGAACCGACUAAUGUUGAAAAAUUAGCGGAUGACUUGUGGCUGGGGGUGAAAGGCCAAUCAAACCGGGAGAUAGCUGGUUCUCCCCGAAAGCU